UACUCCUUACCAAUGGCGCUCCACACGCCCAGGGUGGUUGUUUGCCCUCUCUCGUUUGGAGCCCAGCACUCGCUCCUCCCUCCAAAACCCCAUAAUCGGCCGUUAUUCAUAUUCUUCGUCCGCCAUUAAAACCCAUAUUCCGAAACGCCCGCCGAAUAGCCGCCAAGAGCCACGGCGGCGACGCCCCACAAGUAUACUUUAUCCUAACCCAAUUACCCAAUUCGCAGAACUUGCAAGAGACCCAGAAGUUCAUGGCUGAGCAUUCCAGGAGGCUGUUGAAGGAGAAGGAGACUUUUGGGCCUGAUCUCCACGGUGGUGAUAGGCAGUCUGUGCGGAGACAGCUUCCAUUCUUUCUGGCAAAUGUUUGGACUUGUUGCUACCUACAAUAUCAAUAUGUGGUGCAUGAAGCUAAAGUCUAAACUGCUGGGAGGUAGAUUCGAACUUGGAUGUAUAGGGUAAUCAGCGACUUCUUGCACAAGGAGUAUGGAGGACCUGGGACAUUGUUGGCAGAGCCUUGCACUGAUAUAUUGGUUGCUCUGAAAGAGAAGGAACUACCAGGAGCACCUUUGGCUGCAAGAACAUCUCGGCUUUGGGCUCAAAUCUACCUUGAUCGAGACUGGGAAAUCAGGAACUCGAAAUCGCAAAAAUGAUGUUUCUUUUGUAAUCAACAAUAGUGUAAAUUUAAUCUAGUUUUGUAUUUCUCCAGAUCAUUUGUUUAUCAAACACCCAAAAAAAAAUUGGGAAAAGACCCAUUGUCUACCAGGAAACUCACACUUCUAAUACAAUGUCAGAUUCGGUGCU